AGCAGCCGCGGUAAUUCCAGCUCCAAUAGCGUAUAUUAAAGUUGUUGCAGUUAAAAAGCUCGUAGUUGAAUUUCGAGAUCAAAUUGUUGGUCGUGCCUCGGUACGUACUGGCAUUAUUGAUUUCUCCCUUCUGAAGAACCACGAUGUCAUUAAUUUGGUGUCGUGGGGAAUCAGGACUGUUACUUUGAAAAAUUAGAGUGUUUAAAGCAGGCUCACGCUUGAAUACAUUAGCAUGGAAUAAUGAAAUAGGACGUUUGAUUCUAUUUUGUUGGUUUCUAGGAUCGACGUAAUGAUUAAUAGGGAUAGUUGGGGGCAUUAGUAUUCAAUUGUCAGAGGUGAAAUUCUUGGAUUUAUUGAAGACUAACUACUGCGAAAGCAUUUGCCAAGGAUGUUUUCAUUAAUCAAAGAACGAAAGUUAGGGGAUCGAAGACGAUCAGAUACCGUCGUAGUCUUAACCAUAAACUAUGCCGACUAGGGAUCGGAUGAUGUUAAUUUUUAAUGUACUCAUUCGGCGUACCCG
rnacentral:rRNA from 1 species